rnacentral:rRNA from 1 species
CCUACGGGAGGCAGCAGUGAGGAAUAUUGGUCAAUGGGAGAGAUCCUGAACCAGCCAAGCCGCGUGAGGGAAGACGGCCCUAUGGGUUGUAAACCCCUUUUGUCGGAGAACAAAACCCGGGACGUGUCCCGGACUGCGUGUAUCCGAAGAAAACGCAUCGGCUAACUCCGUGCCAGACGCCGCGGUAAUACGGAGGAUGCGAGCGUUAUCCGGAUUUAUUGGGUUUAAAGGGUGCGUAGGCGGUCCGUUAAGUCAGCGGUAAAAUUGCGGGGCUAAACCCCGUCGAGCCGUUGAAACUGGCAGACUUGAGUGGGCGAGAAGUACGCGGAAUGCGCGGUGUAGCGGUGAAAUGCAUAGAUAUCGCGCAGAACUCCGAUUGCGAAGGCAGCGUACCGGCGCCAGACUGACGCUGAGGCACGAAAGCGUGGGGAGCGAACAGGAUUAGAUACCCGGGUAGUC